CUAGUGGCGCACGGGUGCGUAACGCGUGGGAAUCUGCCCCUUGGUUCGGAAUAACUCAGAGAAAUUUGAGCUAAUACCGGAUGAUGACGUAAGUCCAAAGAUUUAUCGCCAAGGGAUGAGCCCGCGUAGGAUUAGCUAGUUGGUGAGGUAAAGGCUCACCAAGGCGACGAUCCUUAGCUGGUCUGAGAGGAUGAUCAGCCACACUGGGACUGAGACACGGCCCAGACUCCUACGGGAGGCAGCAGUGGGGAAUAUUGGACAAUGGGCGAAAGCCUGAUCCAGCAAUGCCGCGUGAGUGAUGAAGGCCUUAGGGUUGUAAAGCUCUUUUACCCGGGAUGAUAAUGACAGUACCGGGAGAAUAAGCUCCGGCUAACUCCGUGCCAGCAGCCGCGGUAAUACGGAGGGAGCUAGCGUUGUUCGGAAUUACUGGGCGUAAAGCGCACGUAGGCGGCUUUGUAAGUAAGAGGUGAAAGCCUGGAGCUCAACUCCAGA
rnacentral:rRNA from 1 species